rnacentral:rRNA from 1 species
GGGGGACCUUCGGGCCUCUUGCCAUCGGAUGUGCCCAGAUGGGAUUAGCUAGUAGGUGGGGUAACGGCUCACCUAGGCGACGAUCCCUAGCUGGUCUGAGAGGAUGACCAGCCACACUGGAACUGAGACACGGUCCAGACUCCUACGGGAGGCAGCAGUGGGGAAUAUUGCACAAUGGGCGCAAGCCUGAUGCAGCCAUGCCGCGUGUAUGAAGAAGGCCUUCGGGUUGUAAAGUACUUUCAGCGGGGAGGAAGGGAGUAAAGUUAAUACCUUUGCUCAUUGACGUUACCCGCAGAAGAAGCACCGGCUAACUCCGUGCCAGCAGCCGCGGUAAUACGGAGGGUGCAAGCGUUAAUCGGAGUGAGUGGGCGUAAAGCGCACGCAGGCGGUUUGUUAAGUCAGAUGAGAAAUCUCCACGAGCUACAAGUCAG